rnacentral:lncRNA from 10 species
GGAAAGAAGGAGGGAAGGAAGGAAAGGAAACAUGGAAGGAAGGAAGGAAAGAAGGAAGGAAGGAAAGGAAAGAUGGAAGAAAGGAAGGAAGGAUCAACCAUGAAGCCAAGUAACCAUGUGACCUGGGAUGCCAGCCUCUGGGAUUCCAGCCCGACCUCGGGGACUCAGAAGGAAAGAAGGGCUGGCGUCCGCCUACCAGCCAGAGGACACAGCAGUCCCGGGAGCAGUGCCUAGAAGAAGGCAGGGCACAGGCAGGCAGAGAGCAGAGGGUGGGUUCAGAUGGAGGCCGUGGAGAGGACACUGGACGCUGGCUGUAAAGACGUGUCAGCCCAUGCUCUGUGACCAGCCCCAUAGCAGGCAUCGGGGCCGUGGAGAUGUGGGGUCUAGUCCUAUCUGGAGAAACUCGCAUUUGGGGGAAGAGGAUGUGGAGACAAAUAAUCCAGAGGCAGCUUGGAACAUGCAUAUGCCUGUGCAAGGUUCCUGGGCCAGUCUCCCAAGACAGUGAGUAAUUAGCCGCGAAAGAGUCUUGGAUGUGAAGCCAAAAACAACAGCAGUGUCACAUCAGAUGCUGAGACAUCUCCAGCUAAGAGCUGAGCUCAGCCCCCACCCGCCCCCUCCACCCCCCAGCCGCAGCCACCAGCAGAAGGAAAACAGCCCCGUGCGGCUGAGUUCAACCAGGGCUGCCUUUCUCCACCGUGUCCGCCAUUCUGGUCUCGUGCCGCAGCAGGCAUUGCUAGAUGAUUGCCGUCAUGGCUCAUACUAACAAUAAAUAGGUCCUCCCGGGGACCCACCACCCAAACUCCUUGUGCCGGGAACAGCUACUAAAGGGGAGGCCCUUUCCAUAUUCCGCUUCAUUCUCCCCUCCUGGCGUGCCUCAAGGAACGACCACUGUCCCCAGGUUACAGACAUCUGACCCCAGGCCACAGAGUCAUACCCAGUCUGGCUCCCACAGCCCUCCCAGGCUGUCUGGUGUCAGUGCAGUGCUGUGGAUGGGAACACACCUCUACCAUGUUGAGCUGCUCUGAGGUUUAAAUGCGUUACUGCUAAUUGGGAUCUUGGAACAACUCCUGGUGCAUAGACACACACAGGACAGACUGGAAUAAAUACUGGUGGUUUAUCACAGGAAGGCUGGCCUCAGCUUGGGAGAGUAAGCGUGCAUGCAUACACAGCCAGCUGAUUUAUUGUGACCCGAGCCAAGCACUGAACAGAGCGAGGCCAUUUAUCUACUUGGUUGGAGGAGAGGUCAAGAGAGAGAAGUCAGAGAUUAAGCUAAAUAGUUCAGUGCCUUUGUUAACUCCCGGGGCGUCUCCUCUGCGCGGCUUGUGUUCCCAGGGAAUACUGUCAUGAGCUCCACAGGGAAGACUGGACUCCUUCUUGGGGAGACAGCCCUGGCCCCAGGGAGCAGCGUGGCCAAGGACAUUCUCAGCCUCUUGGGGUUGCCAAAAGGGAGCAGAAGCAGGAGGAGGGAGGGGGGGAGCUGGGAGGAACACCCCAUCGUGGAAGACCUGCUGCCAAUGCGGGGCUGCAGUCCCAGUCUCUGCCGCCACCAGACCCUGGUCAGGAGACAUCACAGACAGGCUCCCUUCUCCCGCCUUCAUUCAGGGCUCUGCUCAAACAGCCCAUUUGCAAUAGGACUUCCUGCAGUGUCCUAGUUAAAUACCCCAACCCAUGCCCCCAUCGUACGCUAUCCCUUCCCCUGCUUUAUGUUUCUUCAUGGUGCUCAGCACCCUGACAUAUCUAUGUCUGUAUUUGUUUACUUAUUGUUGGGUCUGUUUUUGAAUGAAGUGCUAUGUCUGUGGUGUAAAGUCCAACAUGUGGCAGAUUCUAGGUGCUCAAUAAAUAUCUAUUCAGUGAAUGACGAAUUGUUGCUAAUAGUUUACAACUGCUGAAUAUGUGCCUAGAUAAGCUUUGUAGAUCUCACUGUAUAUAACACCUCAACAGUACCAUGCUGUACAUACUGUCCUUAGGCUCAGAGAGGC